CCAAGAGAACUAGAACUUUAGUCUCUGCUUUUAAACUAAGCAUUCAAGAAUCAAGAACGAGAACCCACCGCCUCUCGAUGAUCAUCUCCAAAUCAUUAUUGCUUUUCUUCAUGAGCUCCUAAAAUUUUCUUCAAAAUCUUUCCAAUGCCUUAGUUCUAGGAUUCCAAGCCCUAUGAAAACGAAGAAAAGCAGGGAAAAGAAAAGGGAGCAAAAACAGAGAAGAAAAACGAGGGAAAAAAGAGGACAGUAAGAAACAGCUAAGGUGCCGAGGAGCAGGGAAGUGAGCCUCCGGUACCGUUUCCUCUGCCGCCGCUGGAGCCCACCACCAUUGAAGUUCACCGAGAUAAGCACUAUGCGUAUCAGCUGUUUGAAAAAAUGCCCAAACAAAAUUUGAACAAAAAGGACAAAUGAUCUACGUUUGUGCGUUUGAGGAAGGUGAAAUUCCAGCAAGUACAAUGCUUGCCGGAAGAUAAUCGUUAAUUUUCCGGGUAGAAGGGAGACUUUUGAGAGAUUUUGACGCGCGGGUUUUCUUUUUUUUUUUUUUUUUGUACUUCUUCUGUUUGUAUGAAUUCGAGUUUUAUUAUGUGAAAGAAGCAGCAGCCGUCUGCAGUUCUCAUCGAUUGGAGAAGACGACCCAAUUCCAGAAAUCGCAAUUUUAGUCCUUCAAUUUUUAUUUUGUAAUUUAUUCCCCAAAGUUUUAAGACUUUGUAAUUUGACCCCAAAAACCUUGCUUUUAUACCUUCUAUUAAGUCCUAGGAGAUUAGUUCAAUUAGCUUUUUCAUUUGUCAAGUUGUAAUUAAUUUUAUUUUCUUUGUUUAGAAGUGAUGUGACUCAUAUUGGACAUAGGAGCAUUCCAAUUUUGUAAUGUUUUUCUUUUUUAUUUUCCUAGUUACUUUUUAUUUUUUCGUGUGAGAUCGAGUGGGCCUCGAGCAUGUUGUUUCAUGGCUUUUCCAACGGAAAGCCUUGGAAAUAGUCAUUUUAUUUUUUUCACUCUUUAUGUGUUAUGUAUAAUUCUUAUUUGUUUA